UGGGGAAUUUUGGACAAUGGGGGAAACCCUGAUCCAGCCAUCCCGCGUGUGCGAUGAAGGCCUUCGGGUUGUAAAGCACUUUUGGCAGGAAAGAAACGUCGCGGGUUAAUACCCCGCGAAACUGACGGUACCUGCAGAAUAAGCACCGGCUAACUACGUGCCAGCAGCCGCGGUAAUACGUAGGGUGCAAGCGUUAAUCGGAAUUACUGGGCGUAAAGCGUGCGCAGGCGGUUCGGAAAGAAAGAUGUGAAAUCCCAGAGCUUAACUUUGGAACUGCAUUUUUAACUACCGGGCUAGAGUGUGUCAGAGGGAGGUGGAAUUCCGCGUGUAGCAGUGAAAUGCGUAGAUAUGCGGAGGAACACCGAUGGCGAAGGCAGCCUCCUGGGAUAACACUGACGCUCAUGCACGAAAGCGUGGGGAGCAAACAGGAUUAGAUACCCUGGUAGUCCACGCCCUAAACGAUGUCAACUAGCUGUUGGGGCCUUCGGGCCUUGGUAGCGCAGCUAACGCGUGAAGUUGACCGCCUGGGGAGUACGGUCGCAAGAUUAAAACUCAAAUGAAUUGACGGGGUCGAUAC
rnacentral:rRNA from 1 species